rnacentral:rRNA from 1 species
CCUACGGGGGGCUGCAGUGGGGAAUAUUGGACAAUGGGCGAAAGCCUGAUCCAGCCAUGCCGCGUGUGUGAAGAAGGCCUUCGGGUUGUAAAGCACUUUCAGUGGGGAAGAAAGCCUUGGGGCUAAUACCCUCGAGGAAGGACAUCACCCACAGAAGAAGCACCGGCUAACUCCGUGCCAGCAGCCGCGGUAAUACGGAGGGUGCGAGCGUUAAUCGGAAUUACUGGGCGUAAAGCGCGCGUAGGCGGUCUGAUAAGCCGGUUGUGAAAGCCCCGGGCUCAACCUGGGAACGGCAUCCGGAACGGUAAGGCUAGAGUGCCGGAGAGGAAGGUAGAAUUCCCGGUGUAGCGGUGAAAUGCGUAGAGAUCGGGAGGAAUACCAGUGGCGAAGGCGGCCUUCUGGACUGACACUGACGCUGAGGUGCGAAAGCGUGGGUAGCAAACAGGAUUAGAUACCCGAGUAGUC